rnacentral:misc_RNA from 1 species
ACAAGCCAGUCACUCGGUCGGGUCGUGAGCAACAACAGGCUGCCAAGGGCGCGCUCCGAGGGCCCAACAAGCCUUCUCUCUCUCUCUCUCUUUCUCCCUCUCCGUGGAGCUCUUCUUGCUCUUCGGGAGGUUGGUGCCCUCAAACAAAAUAGAAAUUCAAGUUGCUGUGGGAUGUAGUGGUUAAAGGAACAACAGUGAGGGAAGCAGAAGUCAUUCCUGUGGUAGCCCGAAUAACGUGUUAUAUCACACUGUCCUGUGUUGUACCAAAUCAAGAAAAUUUACAUCUGUUUAUAUUUACAAAAAAGGCUUACAGAUUCGAGGAUUUGGACUGUGUUACUGUUUCAAAUAUAAUACUGUGAAAUUAGAGGUAAAUAAAGCAAGAGUUCACUGUGAUCUAUAUACCAGCGUCUUGAGCAUAUACCGCCUGUGUGUGUCAAGAUAACAAAGAGACAGGCGACUCCUGCCUCGCCUUCUCUAACAGGUUCUUCCUUCCAACUUCCUUAGACGUCCGGGAGCCUCACCACAGCCAGGACCACCAAAACAGAUAUCCGGCAUGCCAGACGCUGGUCCCAUCCUGCCUCGACCCGACCUCACCCUACACCACGCCCCGCCCUCGGCCAAGUUCCGUGACCCGCCCUCGGCCAAGUUCCGUGACCCGCCCUCGGCCAAGUUCCGCGACCCGCCCUCGGCUAAGUUCCGCGACCCACCCUCGGCUAAGUUCCGCGACCCGCCCUUGCGACCUGCGCGCCUGCACACACGCCCAUCUCUCAAGUCCGUGCCGGAGGAGCGGUCUGGCAAUAUGCACCGCUGGAGUGCACCCUGCGACACAUCCUUCACUCUGCCGCAAUGUGGGGUGCCGGGAGCUGCCUCCACCGUACGGCACUCCAGAAAUAUAUCCCUGAGAAGAUAUAAUUCCCUUCGCUCACGGACCUCAUAUUCGCUCCGGAGGUCCAUACGCAGGGCCGGACCGCUGUACCGGGCCGCCAGCCUCCAGGUGGGGUCCGCGCGGCGGGCGGCGGCCCACCUAAGGAAGCGGAUAUCGGGCGGAAGUGCAGUGCCUCUGUUGACACCUGGUCGCUCACGCCGGGGACCUGUGAUAGCAAGAGCGCGAGAGCGGCCGCCCGCGAGGCCCGCCAGGAAUAGUCCCCGGGUACGGGCGGCCCGCAGGGCGGCGUUUGCGGCCCGCACGGUACAGUGGGAGGCAGCCAGUGGGCUAGCGGCCUUGUUUGAGUGCGGAGGGUCGGCGGGUGGCGCAGCGGUUACGGGCGUCGUGCGGGUGUGGGCGGCAGCGGUGGCCAUGGCGGAAGCCAGGCUCCAGCAGCUGCGCCGCUCCAUUAGCUCCUGGAGCCUCUCUACCAUUAAGAAGCCCAAGAUCGCUAUUCCCAAGCUCAAGACUCCAAAAUUCAAAGUUUUCGGCGGGCGCAAGAAAAACAGGAUUGACCCCAAGGAUGAUGCAGCAGCAGUGGAGGAGGUGAAGGCAGCGCUCCUGAAGGUAGAGGGCGAUGGAGAGGGAGGAGAACCCAGGCCAGAGGCAGAAGGGGUGAGUGGCGAGGUGAUCCACGAGCCUCCAGACCGUGGGCGAGGCGAGGACCAACCCACCAUUGUUCUUACUCUCCACGACGAUGGAAGCCCACCCGAGCCCCCGCCCCCUGCGCCCUGCCCUGGGCUGCUCAGCGCAACUGACGACCUGGAAUUUAUCGACUCCGAUGAGGCGGAUUCUGAUGACAGAGUUGUCGAAGCUAUUGGACCUGACGUCGAGUACUGUGACCAGUGGUUCGACGCCCGUGGAACGCUAACUCGUUCCAAAGAAGAUAUUGCUCGCAUCAUUGAUGAUUACGAUGAUUGCCGAACAAGUAAAUAUUACGACGCUGCGGACGAAGCAGCUCAACGUCUUAAUGGCACAGAGUCGGUGGGAGCGCAAAUUAACAGUAAAGAAAAGCGGGGUUCAUUGAAGUCUCGGGAGUGGGUUAAGAGCUUCAACGAGGAGGCCGAGUCACGGAUACAGCGUUGGAUGAGACUACAGAAAACAAAAAAUCCUUCAAGUCUUCCAAAAAGCAAAUCUGAAAUUCGUCUGGAUGGGAUUGAAGAGCCAGGAGAAAAGUGGUCAGCCAGAGACGAGAUCCAGCUCAACGCCACGAGGGAAAACGAAGCCCACGCCAGUUAUCUUCACAAAGAAUAUAACGAUAAUGUUAAAAUAACGGAGAGCGAACGUCAGCAAGCAUCAGAAAAGAAGCAGGAGGCACGUAAGGAGAAUCUCAAGAAAAUAUUCCAAGUAAAAGGGAAGUUAUCUAUCAAACCCAUCGUAGACUCGCAGCGGCCGACGUACACAGACACGGACAUUUACAUAGCUUCAACACCUUACGCUCUGGCCAGCACCACAGACAGCAGGCAGCCAGACGGAGAGUCUCUUGAUGCAUCUGAGGAUGGUAUCAACUGCAGCUCUGCUGACCUUGACCCUGCAUUAGACGAGUAUCUUGUCUCACAAGAUAAUCAUCAGAAUAACGGUGACAACAGACACCUAUUUUCGAAAACCAAACAAGAAAACGCCAAAGAAUCGAAAUUAACACUAAAUUGUGAUCCAUUAAGUAUUCCAAACAUUGUGAUAGAGACUCCGGGGGUCACUGAAAAGAAUGUGGAGUUUUCAAAACAGCUGUACAGAGAAGAGAGAAUGAGAGCAGAUUACAUCCCACAGUCAAAAGCCAUUUCACAAGAGCAGGACACUACAGAAGUUAGUGUCAACUCUGAACCUAAUGACGUAAUACAGAAUGAAAUACAGAUCAGCUCCAAAGAUACAGGAACGCCAUCUCAUGAACAAGACGCAAAACCAAUAAAUAUGAAUGCUAAUUCAGAGGCUCAGGAAACAGAGGAAGAGACAGAAUCAGAGUCAGUUUCACGUGAAACAAAUACCACUAUAUUAUCAACAUCAGAAGCUAAGGAAAUUCCAUCUGAGGUAUCCAAGGACCAGGAAGUCUCUACUACAAUAUUGACAAAAACGAAAGAGUCCUCAUCGGCCCAAACAAAACCUGAGACAACAGAGAUACAGUCCUUGUCAGAUUCAGCAAAGUCUGACGUAAAGAAAAGAAAAAUAACUGGAGCAAAUAUCCCAAAAUCUAUCAAGAACUUUGCAGGCUCCUUUUUUACACAACAAACAAGUGGAAAAGCAAAAAAUGUAUAUGUAGAAGAAAAAGAAGGAGAUAAAAAGAAAAAGAAAGGGAGAAUCAGCCCAUUCACCAAAGAUUAUCUCUCCAGAGGCUCUAAAAAAGCCGCGCCAGAAGAGGUAGAGAACGAAACAGGUCUUCAGCCGGGCCCUGAAAAAGCCUCAGGAAGUGUGUGCGAUAAGAACUCUGCACCAGUGAAUACCAAUCCUUUUAUAGACGACGACGGCAAUCCAUUUACUGAUGACGAUAUGGAGGAAACAGUGCCAGGAAGCACAGAUGACGAGCCCACCGCCACGAUGGCACGAGAGACUCUGCCCGAUCUUCUUCCCUCAUCUGGUAUUGGGAAACCUCCAAGGGAGUCCCCAGAUAGCCUCGAGUACACAUCAGUCAUCGAGUCUGAUGAACAGAAAUCAAUUUCCCACGAAUCGUCACCUGGAGCUGGAACCUCGUUUGUGGAAGAAGGAGGCUUGAGGCUACGGAAAGAUGCUCUUCUCGCAAUCAAGUCAAUGAACAAUGACGACGCCUCCACCCAUUACUAUAGCUUCCUCAGCGCCACCGAUGACUAUCAUACACCCACAAAUGAAGCCACAGACGACUAUAACACACCCACUACAGAAAUCGAGCAAAGAGAAGAGAUUCCUAUGCAGGAAAUGCUUCAGGAAGAAGACACGUUCCUUCAUACUUCUCAGCUAAUAAAGUUCCCAAACUCAACUCACGAUCAGACACACGACAAAAAAACAAGAGAAAGUUCACCUGCCGAGCCUAAUUGGACUGAGAAGCCAACGCCAGUCCAAGACCCCAAGCCAGACGUUUUGCCAAAUGAGUCUCAGAGAAAAAUAAUAGAUGAAGAAAACAAGGAGAAUCUUGAAAGUAAAAACAUGAAGUUAGUCAUAAACAAAGCUGAGUCCCCACAAAGAACUCCUGUUACCUCGCUGCCAGCAGCAAGCGUGAAGUCGCCGGGAACAAUGCAAGAAACAGUUCCACCAAGCCAACUGAUACCUCAGUAUAAUGAUCCCGUUUCUCUAGAACUUGCUGACCGGCAAGUGAAGUCCGUUCUCUUCAUGAGCACUCAGGAGCCUCCCAAGCCAAGCCCAAGGAACAAGAAGGGAAGAUACGGCUACGGUACCGGCGACGCUACCCUUACCACAACUACUCUCCCUGUUUCAACAAGCAACAGUGACACCGCAGCAGUCCAUGAUAAAUUAAAGACUUUAAGCAAUCAUGGAAUGAAUGGCACGACAGCGGCUAUAGACAAGCCCCAAAUAGCCACCUUCCCCAGGCGAAGUGCUUCAUGUAAAAAAGCUCCGCCUCCUGAGCCGGAUAUAAAUUCUUCAGAUUCUGGGUAUGUAGGACCCGGGAGCAACUACUACGGGGGAACCGACUCCGAACCCAUUUACUGGGAAAUUAGCGAAACAAAAGGGGCGCCACCAAGACCAAGCCCAAGAUCAAGAAAACCCCCUGGACCGCCUGGUGACCGUUCCCUGAACCAACCCCUGGCUCCCUCACCACCUUCCCUGAGUGCAACUCCUACAAACACCCCAGUGCAAGACUCUCAACCUGUACCCGAGUGGAUAAACAAACGGGCACCGGUACCGAGUCCACGAAGCAAGAAGCAGCGUUCCCUUCAAUCUCUCCCAACCUUCGCCCCGACAGAUGACACCAUGGAAGCAGUAAAAAAAAAACUUCAGCUUUUAUCCCACGAGCCCCUGCAAGACUCACAGGUGCUACAGCAACCAAUAACAGCACAGGAGGAAUUUUACAGUGGUAAAGCUGCUUCUAUAUCCUACGGGUUCACCCAAUCUACACGCGCCGCCCCGCCAUCGCCGCCAAUGAGAGUCAGGAAGGUAUCCCAGAUCUCUCUUCCAGCGGCUGUAGUGGCGGACGACGCGACGUGGCGGCAACAGAAGAGAAGAACCGUACAUGGUGGCGACGGGCCACCGGGGCCACUCUCAGCGAGGCGAGCAAGAAGGCGCACCGACCCUACUCAAGGCCUUCCUAUUCCCUCCAUCAGGGCCGCCGUUCAGCGCCUGGGGGAGAAGGUGGUGUGUCUGACGGAGCUGCUGCCUAUAGUGGGUCUGCCUCAGGACAUCGCCAGUCACAAGGCCGAGGAGCUGCUGACGGAUGUGCUGUACUCGGUCCACUCUCUAAUGGGCGGCACGGGCGGGGGUGUGUGGGCGGUGGGCGGCCCAGCGGUCAUUGCAGCUGUUUCAGCCGGCGGCCAAAUCGGUUCAGGGACUUCCAACCGCACAAGCGUGUCCCUGGACCAGGUUCUCCAGGUCUUGCAAGCAGCCUUCCAGGUGAACCAGGACACCGUGGAUCGACUCUUACAAGACGUUCAAAGCAGACAGGCUCCUGAAGUUACUCUUCACCUGAGUUUGAAAGAGGCGAAGGAACUCCGACCAAAGACUGUCAAGGGGACAACAAACUCCUACGUGACCUUGGGAAUUCCUAAUUCAGGCGAGUCCCACCGGACGAGGCUUGAGAAGGAUACUCUUAAUCCCAAAUGGAAUCAGGAUUUCACCUUACGUGUAAACAAUCUCCAGAAGGACGUCCUUCAAGUGGAAGUCUGGCACGAGCAUGACGCUCUGGGGGUGAAGCAGCUGACAGCUGUGCGGGACAUCAAGGGCCUCAGUCGGCUGGUCCGGGGCACGACAGCUCAAGCCCAACACCAAGCAGCUCACCUUCUGGGCCAAGUCACCUUCAAUGUCAAGGACGUGAGUGAGCGCGGCCUCAAUGGGUGGCAUCCCCUGGAGAAGAAGAGUGAGGUAGAGGAGUCCAAGGAGAGAGGCAGCAUACUUCUAGUGGGAUCCCUGUCCUCUUCAGCACACCUCGAGAACAAAAAUCGACAGUCAUACGAUUCCCUGCUGGCUCGUCUUGUUCAUCAUCAACUAAUAGAAGAAGCAAACAACAAACAGGAGGACGAGUGGUCGCCGCCCUGGAACGGGCGAGUGAGCGGCAGCGCAGCGGCGGCCCUGGCGCAGUUCGCCAUAAUGUUAGGGCUGAACGACGCGGCUCUCCAGUUGUCGUGGUGGUGCGUGGGCAGCAGGAUCGCCACCGUGGACACCGCCUGGACCCUCUCUCAGCUCCACCGCGUGCAGGCCGCCCUGGCCAAGGGUGCUUAUCGAGACGAAGACUUGGGGGAGCUGCGGACAUCUCUCUCCAGCUUCGUUCGCGCCAGUGCCGAACGGAUUAAAACUCUGCACACAGCAUUUCCUCCCUCUUCUGGUGUUCUGGCGCAGCACCAACUCACUUACACUCUAAAGGUCCUGUACAGUAUGCAGAACCACAAUGAAACCCAAGUACUACUGGCUGAAGAAGGCCUUCCCUACCUACACGAGACUGUCACAUCAAGCCUAGCUGUGCAUACUAAGAACUGGUGGACAGCGAUGAUCGAGGAACAGCUGAGAGGAGUUAGAACAGCUGAUGAGCAGAUCUCAAGAGUCAUCAACAUCGUCGAUGAGUCCAACACCUUCCUCACCUACGCUGACAAAUUCUACAAUAGCAUUUUCUUAAAGGAGAUGAACAUCCCAUACAUGCAGACAACCUACCUUGUGGUGAGCAAGAAGGUCAAUCCCUGCGUGCGGCCUUUAGUCAUGAACAUCUACAACCGUAUGCCCUUAUUCAACGAGCAGAGGGAAGACGCUGAUGACGCCCAAUACGCCCUGGAGGUGGGCACGUCCCUGUGGCAGCUGUACAGGAAUCUUAGCCACCUACACACGUUGGGCGAGUCACUUCCAGCUGAGGCUCGUAGUGAGUCCGGGGUGCGUGAGUACCACCGGUGGUUCUCCCGCGGGGUGAUGAGGUGGCUGGAGCUGGCCAUCUCUCGCGCUCAGGAUAUGAUCAGAAAAGCCGUCGACCUAGAUUGCUUCGAGCCCGUCGAUGCAUUCUGUAACUUCAGCUCCUCUGCAACUGAUACCAUUGGAAUAUUCCACGAUGUAAAAAUCUGGUGGUUGAAGCUGGCCUGGCCCGACCCAGAGAACAGCGCCGUGUUACUGGCCAAGAUCUUGGAAGACAUCUGCUCCUGCGGGACCACCUACUCAGACCUCCUCAGGAAUAAAGUUGACACCAUGCUCUUCAGACAAGAUAAUUCCAGUCGCGUCUUCUUCACCAGUCAGAUUUGUGUGGGGCUCAACAACAUCGAGAGAGUGCGACAGGAGCUCACGGGACUCCCAGGACACUUCGGGUUCGAUGCUCAGCUGGAGGAGAUUAGGAGCUCAGGGAGUGGUAACGGAGCCGCUGCCCAACUGGAGGCUACCGUUGAGAGGCUGAUAUUCAGCGCCGCAGAGAAUAUGGAAGCCAAAGUCAACGAGUUUAUUGAAACUGUGAUAGACAAGAUGAGACCGACACUUGAGAAGGCAGCGAAUGACGCCUGUGAAGCCCAAGAUGAGUUCUUGUUCUUAGGGGAAGUUCUUAACCCAGCCAUGGAACUCCUGCGUAAACACCUCCACACCUCUAACUUCCACAGGUUCUUGUGGCGUGUGUGGGAAGUCAUUAUUGACAUCUUCAAUUCCAUUGUUAGGCGAAAUACUGAGAGAAGAAGAGCUAAUUACUUUGGUGGUGUACACAGCAUCGUACAAGCGACGCUGAACUUCUUCACACCAAACGAUGGAGUCGGUCUAGACGAAGUCACAGCUCAGACUCCUGAAUACACUUCUCUCAUUGAGCUGCUGGAAUGUCUGAGAAUGUCCACAGAGGCGCUAAUCUCAAAAUAUUACCAGGAGCGUUAUGACGAACAGGUUGAGGACAUUCUUCCAUCUAAAGCCCAGCUUGUUGCGAAGAUGCUUUUCACUCGUCCCGGGAAGCUGAUCGUUGAGGUGAUCAUGGCUCGGGACAUCGUGGUUGAGAGCGACGCUGGUAGUGUGAGCUCUCGCGGCGGGGGCCAGGCUGGGUUCCACAACCAGCCUGUGGACUCGUACGUUAAAGUGCAGCUGGUGCCCCAGGAAUGGUUCCCGGCUGCCUCCAUAUACAAGACCAAGAUACAGCGCAAGCAAGACCCAGCCGUAUACGAGGAAACCUUUGAGUUUGAUAUGAGUAAGAACGAUGACGGUGUCCGCGCAGGGUUCAUAUUGUUUACACUCAAAGAUUACAACCUAGGUCGCUCCAACACCUUCAUAGGGGAAGCCUUGGUCCCUCUGGCCAACCUCCCCUGUGUUGACUCCUCUCAAGUCCAUACAGUCUCCAACACUUACUUCAAGAUGACCACCCCGGGACUCGACAUAGGGUACAAAUCCCUUCGUGCGCUGCACUUCAGAACGGCAGACAAGAUUGCGUAUUCAUUUGUAAAGAGAGUUUCAAAACGACUCUUAGAUGCAAGAGCCAAAUUAAGUACAACGCUUCGACCAGACGAGGAAAAGUCGCGAUCAAAGAGUCCCACGCUAAUAGAAAGAUUGAAAUUUUCUUGAAGCAGCAUGGCGUCACAUCAGAGUUAUGAUGUGAGUAGACCACACCAUGAGGUGCUCAACAUCACUCCGGCACGCCGGAGGUGUUAACGCGAGCGGCAGUUCAUCAUUCAACUGGACCUCUUCAGCUAUCAACUGGAAUUGAAAAUUACACUGAUCAUUUGUGAAAUCAACUUGUGAGUCAUUUAGAGCUUCCGGAACAGUAUCUCGAGAUAUAACUCUUAAAGUUGGUUUGGUUGAGUUGCUGAAGCUGGCCUGCUGCAGUUGUUGAAGCUGGCCUGCUGCAGUUGUUGAAGCUGGCCUGCUGCAGUUGUUGAAGCUGGCCUGCUGCAGUUGUUGAAGCUGGCCUGCUGCAGUUGUUGAAGCUGGCCUGCUGCAGUUGUUGAAGCUGGCCUGCUGCAGUUGUUGAAGCUGGCCUGCUGCAGUUGUUGAAGCUGGCCUGCUGCAGUUGUUGAAGCUGGCCUGCUGCAGUCGUUGAAGCUGGCCUGCUGCAGUUGUUGAAGCUGGCCUGCUGCAGUUGUUGAAGCUGGCCUGCUGCAGUCGUUGAAGCUGGCCUGCUGCAGUCGUUGAAGCUGGCCUGCGGCAGUUGUUGAAGCUGGCCUGCUUCAAUUGUUGAAGCUGGCCUGCUUCAAUUGUUGAAGCUGGCCUGCUUCAAUUGUUGAAGCUGGCCUGCUGCAGUUUCGUUCGCUGCAGUUGUCUGAGCGAACGAAAAAAUACUCUACAACCACUUGAAUUCAGAAAAAAAGUUUUUGUUUAAUUGAAGUCGACCAUAACGAAUCUGUGUAUAUAUUUAUCUGUGAUUUCUUGUACAUAAAUUAUUUUUUUGGUGCAAACGACACAAUGCGCAGUUUCGUGAAGCUAAUACAAAGGCUAUGAGGCCCAGGUGGUAAUAGCUCAGGCUUGUACAGGUCGUACUAGCUCAGGCUUGAAUAGGUGGCACAUGCUCAGGCUUGUACAGGUGUUUACGAGCGUGCCGCGUGCUCAGGUUUGUACAGAUGCACGUGUUGAAAUGGAUGAAAUAUUAUUUCUUCUCUUCUGUUGUCUGCUAAUAUCUGCAAAAACAACUGUCACUCAAAACACAUCCAACUUAAUGUGAUGUAAGGAGACGAACAAUAGCCUGAGUGUUGUGUUAAUUAUGCAGUGUUUGCAUAACAUAUUUGAGAUAAUUUUAGUGAGAACAUUUGUCAAGUUAGCCCAGAUUUCAUUGUUUGAGAUGACAAGGUAGAUCUGUUGUUCGGAACGACUCGGUGCCCAGAUUGUGUUGCAAACACGAGUUGGUCAGUAAAGCUCUCGUGUAGAACUUACUCUAGGUUCAAGUCCAAACUCUUGUGUCAAGAGAAGGACUUGCCUUUCUGUUAAUAAGUUUGAAAUGUAAACAUUUAUUCCACAGAUAUAUCUUUUUUCAACUGUUUGACAAAUUGCCAAGCGAUAUUGUUCUGCCCUGGGUUUGGCGAUUUGGUAAAUAGGCAUUUUCUUGAAUUACAUUGUAUUUUGAAUUUGAGAAUUUGAAUCUAAACACGUGAUCUGAGUACACUCUCGGUAAUAUCAGAAUCUCACCCAACAUGACAUGUGUCCGAUCUCGAUAAUAUCAGAGGUAACAUGAACGAAAAGGAACGGGUGUCAUUAAAGAUACCCGUUCGAAUCCUUGAGUCAAUCUUGUCAUAGACGUACUUCCCUCUCUGGCCGUUCUGUGCUUCACAAUACUCUUUAGUUUCCUAAGUGUUAAACUAGUCAUGCCGGCCCGAGAUGCUCUCUCAAGACGUAUCUGAUAUAUUGUACCUUUUAUAGACACAUUUCACUGUUUUAUAUGAUGUAAAAUAAUGAAUAUUUAUGACAUAAAA